AAACUAGGACCGACCCUUCCGGGAGGCUUGAACAGGUGGCUGCAUGGCGUGUCGUCAGCUCGUGUCGUGAGAUGUUCGGUUAAGUCCGCUAACGAGCGCAACCCUCGCUGUGUGUUACAAGUGUCACACGGAACUGCCGGUCAUAAACCGGAGGAAGGUGGGGAUGACGUCAAGUCAGCAUGGCCUUUAUAUCCUGGGCUACACACACGCUACAAUGGGAAGGGACAAUAGGUUGCGAAACCGCGAGGUGGAGCCAAUCCAGCAAAACUUCCCUCAGUUCAGAUUGCAGGCUGCAGCUCGCCUGCAUGAAGUUGGAGUUGCUAGUAAACGCAGGUCAGCCAUACUGCGUUGAAUACGUUCCCGGGGCUU
rnacentral:rRNA from 1 species